CAGGAUGCUGAAAUCAUUUCAGCGGAUGAGUUGAAUUAAAGGUUAGUGGCAUUACAACCGAAUACUUACAGUGCAGUGAUCAAUAAAUGUGCAUUUCGUCAUGUUUCAGUUUAAUCUAGCUGUUGGUAACAAGUGGUUAUUGAAUCGAGAUUACAACUAAAUAUAAAGCCUUCAAUCUACCUGUUGGUAACAAGUGGUUGUUGAAUCGAGAUAAUGACUAAGUAUAAAGCCGUUUUUACUAUAUGUCGUGGGAAGUUUUACCAUAAAUUAUGGUAGGAAAUCAUCAACAGACACUACUUUAAAUUGGUGAAGUGUAUUGAUUUACUUUCCAUAUGGGUCAGUUAUUGUGAUGUUCAGUCAUGGAAUUCCUCACCUUAGAUGAAGAACAAGGACAGGAGAAACUGAUGAAUCAACACUCAGAAAACAGUUUCAUCUCGAGUAACAAUGAGUUGAUCAUUACAAGGGUUGAUGGACAAAGAUAUUCCACUACACUGUUUAGGCCGACUGACGACCACCACAUGGACAUAGUGGUCACACAAGGCACUUAUCGUGACUCACCCGACAAUGCCCUGGUUACACCCUCUCCAACGAAAAAGAAAUCAAUCAAGCGACGGAUACUCUCCAACCUUGCCAAUGCAUUCGUUGUGUUGAUUCUGAUUUUACUGCUAGCGAUGAUGUGUAUGGUAAUUGCAAGUGUUGUACAUGGCGCACCCCUCUCUCAUGGCACAACGACACUACAACACGCCCUUAAUAAUACUACAUUCCAUCACGCCGAAGUGCAUUACGUAAACAACGAUACGAUACAGGGCAACUUCACGUCUGGUUACGACAAUGUCAACCAUACCUAAUCCAUAUUUUUCGCAUCCACUGUUUCUGUACCUUUGUUUCCAUGAGGCCAAACUAUUACUGAGAACAUGUUCUAAAAUGACAAUGAAUAUUAUUUUUGUAAGUAAAGUACAUUUCAAGAUGUUAUCCGACUUGUUGUCUAAGAGUUCGUAUCUAAUGAUGGAAAUAAAUAUUUGCUAUGAAAAUAGUUCGUAGAUACUGAUGGAAAGAAAUAUGUCUAUACAAUACAAUGCAAUAAUUGACAUCUUGUAAGCUUUCACUAGAGAUAAAUUUUUCAGAAUGUGUUUGUGCUUAUUGUGAUAUAAACAGUGUCUUUUAUCUGUAAACAUCACAUCAAAAUAUAACAUGCAUCACAUCUUCUUGAUUACUUUGUUUGUUAAACGCUCUCUUUUGUGAAUAAAUAUGCUAUAAAAUCCUCAUUUCAAGGUAACAUUUUACCACGGCACGAAUAUGUUUCUCGUUAAGAUUAUGUUUGUUAGUCUGAUUUGAUAUAUUAAAAAGUAAAUAACU